UGGACAGAUUAUUGUAUUCAACUGUAUUCACGGUGUGGAACAGGGGAUUACACUGUUUUUUUAACGGAAAGUGAAUCAAUUAACAUAAUAGACUCUU
rnacentral:pre_miRNA from 1 species